rfam:Bacillus bataviensis LMG 21833 contig75, whole genome shotgun sequence.
AGUUCGGUCCCUAUCCGUCGCGGGCGUAGGUAAUUUGAGAGGAUCUGUCCUUAGUACGAGAGGACCGGGAUGGACUUACCGCUGGUGUACCAGUUGUUCCGCCAGGAGCACGGCUGGAUAGCUAUGUAGGGAAGGGAUAAGCGCUGAAAGCAUCUAAGUGCGAAGCCCACCUCAAGAUGAGAUUACCCAUUCGUAAGAAUUAAGAGCCCAGAGAGAUGAUCUGGUAGAUAGGCUGGAAGUGGAAGAGUUGCGAGACUUGGAGCGGACCAGUACUAAUCGCUCGAGGACUUUACCAA